rnacentral:rRNA from 2 species
CAGCCGCGGUAAUACAGAGGGUGCAAGCGUUAAUCGGAAUUACUGGGCGUAAAGGGAGCGUAGGCGGCUCGAUAAGUCAGAUGUGAAAUCCCCGGGCUCAACCUGGGAACUGCAUCUGAUACUGUUGAGCUAGAGUAUGUGAGAGGAAGGUAGAAUUCCAGGUGUAGCGGUGAAAUGCGUAGAGAUCUGGAGGAAUACCGAUGGCGAAGGCAGCCCUCUGGCAUAAUACUGACACUGAGGCUCGAAAGCGUGGGUAGCAAACAGGAUUAGAUACCCUGGUAGGUCCCACGCCGUAAACGAUGUCUACUACGUCGUUAGGGUCCCUUGAGGACUUAGUGACGCAGGCUAACGCAAUAAGUAGACCGUCCUGGGGAGAUACGGCCGCAAUGGUUAAAACUCAAAUGAAUUGGACGGGGGCCCGCACAAGCCGGUGGAGCAUGUGGUUUAAUUACGAUGCACACGCGAAGAACCUUACCUGGUCUUGACAUAUCUAGAAGUCCUGUCAGAAAUGCGGGAAUGCCCUGGCGGGAAUUAGAAUACAGGCAACGGCAUGGCUCUCGUCAGCUCGUGU